GACAUGUACGGAACCCUGCUGAGAGGUGGGGGUGGCUCGAAAGAGAGCCGUAACACAGGUGCUGCAUGGCUGUCGUCAGCUCGUGUCGUGAGAUGUUGGGUUAAGUCCCGCAACGAGCGCAACCCUUGUCAUUAGUUGCUACGCAAGAGCACUCUAAUGAGACUGCCGGUGACAAACCGGAGGAAGGUGGGGAUGACGUCAAGUCCUCAUGGCCCUUAUGGGUAGGGCUUCACACGUGCUACAAUGGCGGUGACAGAGGGAUGCAAUACCGCGAGGUGGAGCAAAUCCCUAAAAGCCGUCUCAGUUCGGAUUGUUCUCUGCAACUCGAGAGCAUGAAGUUGGAAUCGCUAGUAAUCGCGGAUCAGCUCGCCGCGGUGAAUACGUUCCCGGGCCUU
rnacentral:rRNA from 1 species